GAUGGUUUCUGUUUUAAAAUUUUUUUAUUCUUAUCUGUUUCUAGGAAUAUGGAACCAAAUAGUUAGGGAUUUGAAAUGUGUUUGUGAAUUUGAAUAAAAGUGUUGGGAUUGAAAGAAUGAGUCGCGAAAACCGCAAGGAUAAACCGACUGCCAGAUUUUGUUUGCAAACCAGAUUUCAGGCCUGAACCAGUCAUCAUUACAACACGAUAUGCAAGUUUUGCUUCUGCUGUCAUUGAUCUACCAUCAGCAACAUACUCAGUCAUCGCUUGGAUAAACAGCAUCCAGACAUCCAGCUUGAUUAGAAAAACUCAGUCCUUGUGUACACCCAUGUGAGUGUGGGGGUAUUCACGAGGACGCCCUUUUUCCGUCAUUCAACUUUUCUGCAGGAUGGAGCACUUAUGGAUGCCUGACUGUUUUUUCCCAGGCAUA
rnacentral:lncRNA from 1 species